UCUGGUAAACGACGGAGAUCAGCUGGGAAGCUUAUUCCGAAUAUUGUCCAGUAAUACAUGUGAAAGAGGACAGAGGACAAAGAUCAGCUGUCAACUAGAAAUCUAGAUGGAACGCCAAAGACACCACCAAGAUUGAAACAACGAAAGUGAAGGUCGCCAUAGCUCACAGUGGAUGGGUUGCUCUCUCUCUCUAUCUAAUGAGAAUGAUGACAGGAACAAUAGAAAAAUCAGUCUACUGUUCAAAUGGAGAGAGGUGGCAGAUGUUGGUGCUACAGCGAUCUGA